rnacentral:lncRNA from 1 species
AACAUGGCGCCCAGAACCCGGAAGUGAGCGGCGGCCGCUGAGAGGCUCCGGGAAACCGAGGCGUCGCGGGCUCAGCGAUCAGGAUAUGACAUUACAACUGCCGCUGCCAGCACCACAGAGUAAGCAGUCCAGAUAGCCGCCACCCGAGGGUCGCGGAGCGCUGCCUCCACUUGCCUGAUGCUGGCAGUGGAACCCACCAUGGAUGGGGACUUCCCUCCACAUGAGCUCCCACCCCCUGGAGGUGGCAUCCAGCUACAGAACCGACUCCUGCACUGUCCUUGGUGGGGCAGUUUCUCACCGUCUUUGUACCCCACCUUCUCCAGUGAAAACCAACAGUUCGUGGGUUCCACCCCAUUCCUUGGUGGCCAGUCUUGCCCUGAAACCAGCUACCCCACCACAGCCACCGUCCCCAGCUUCUUCUCCAAGAGCAGCGACUUUCCUCAGAGGCCCACAUCUGCCUCCCUGUGGCCAAAACUCCCAAAGGUGAGCUCCCCCGCCCCUCUCCUGCCAGCUGUGCUCACGUGAUCUGCUUGUCUGAACCCCAUUUGUCACACACAUCUGGCAACGUGGUGGCUGCCUGUUAUCUCUCACUGGCAGAUGGGCAUCACCAUCCAUUGGGUGAGCAUUUAUUGAACACUUGGUGUUUGUGUGUCCUGUACACACUGCCCCCUGAAUGCCUGUGGAGGGGCCUACCCUCAUGCCUGUCACCCUGUCCACAGAAGGUUGGACCAGGGGAUUCUAUCCUAGCCUCUGGCUAUGGGCCUGAGCUUGUCACCUGCCUCUACCUCCCUCAUCUCCCCAGGCCAUGGAUGGCCUCGGAUUCCACAGAACAAGAAGGAGCCAGACCUGAGCCAAGCCUCACCACAGGUCAGAAAGGACAUGAAGAGUGGCUUAAGUGAGGUCCCUGAGCUGGGGACAUCUCCCUGAGGUCCUCAGAGGCCCUGCUCCGUGCCCUCCACAGGGGAAGGGCUGAGCGUCCUGGAGAUGUGGGUGUGGCCCAGCCCCACCCGAGUGGGCGUGGAUCCGCCUUGCAUGUGGCUUCAGGACAUAGCUUUCCACAGUUUGUUCCAGUGGCAAGAAAGCGGAUACCCUCAUGCUACCUCUGUGCUCCGUGUGGUCAUGUUUCCUACCGUGGUGUGAACCAGGAGUCAACAGAAAACCCACCUCUGCUUGGACCCAGAGCUAGGAACUAACCAUGAGCCCCGAGUUUCCUGGCAGAAGAAGCAAAAAGAGAAAGAGAUGAGUCACAUGACUGACCCGUACACGAGGAAAGUCUGUGGACGGCUUCCUGUGUUCUCACUCUCCACUCAGGAAGCCAGGCAGGAGGACGGAGGUUUUAGGUGUUCCUGGGCUAUAUCCUCAAAGUCUGUCUCGAAGCAACGAGAAAACUAACAGAAAGAGAAAUAGAAGAAACCAAAUAUUGUCUGCCAUUCAGUCUGUCCCUUCCCUGUGGGUAGGAGCCUCCUGUGCACUUGCAUCUUGAAAGUCGCCUCUGAUGUCUGCCAUCUUCUGCUCUUCGUCCUUCUGCUGUGAGCUGUGGGAACCCUUCCCACAGCAUACAUGUCCCACAGUGCUGCAUAACUUUGACCCUUGGGGCCCCAGUAGCUGCUGACUGGACCCAGCACAGCACACACUGGUCAUUUCAGGAUCCCACAGAGUGUCUUGAGUGCCUGACAGUCCCUGGAGCCCUGCCUUCCUUUGCAGCCGGCCCCAGCCCUCAGCCUCCUACUUCUACAAGGGAAGGGCCCGUGCACUCCUGCUCAGCCCUCCAUCUCCAGGUGGCAUGGAGCCCUCCCCAUAGGCUCUGAUAGCCCUGCUCGGUGACCGGAACAGCUCCACAGUCCCCUGUGGGAAUACCCACCCUGGGCGUGCAGGACCCCUCAUGCCUCGAGGACCUCUCCAAUGCCUCUGUCUUCUCUUCAUCUGUGGAUUCCCUGUCAGACAUCCCAGACACACCUGACUUCCUGCAGGCUGACAGCCUCAACGAGGUGCCUACCAUCUGGGAUGUCAGCACCACCUCAACUACCCAUGACAAGGUCAGCAUUCAGGGCACCUCCAAGGGCACUCUGGUGACACAGGUGGACAGGUGGCAGAGCUUGUGAUUGACAACAGUGUGUUCAGGCCUGGGUUAUAAGGGGUCCUAUACCCCAGGCUGGCGGGCCAGUCCCACAGCCCUAAAGGCCUCCACAUACCCCAUGUCCCCUCAUGCCCCAUACUGGGUCCCAGCUGUUGUAUACCUGCUAGGAACACAGCGAUUCCUAGAGAGAGUGGAAAGCAGUUUGAGUUUAUUUUUGUUUGGUUUCAUUUAGUUUCUGAGCCAGGAUCUCACAUAGCCCAGUCUGGUGUCAACUUUACUCUUUUAGCCAAGGUUGCCCUUGGGCUACCAAUCCACCUAUCUCAGUCCCUGAAUCCUGGGGUGACAGGUGUGUGCCAGCAUGUCUGACUCUAAAGGUAGCUUGGGUCACCAGUUCUCAUCCCAGGCUCUCCACCCUCAGUGGACCUGAUGGAUGGUCUACUGUGACUGACCGCCACUUUGAGGCAAGCAGUGUCUCUCAGGGGACCCUAGCUUCUGGGGUCAACUUCUCUCUGUCCACCCACUCAGCAGGCAGGUGACUGUGGGACACAGAGGCUUCCGGGUGUGCAGGACUCUGACCUAGAGGGAUCUUAGCCAGCAGUUAUUUUUGCCCCCAGGGGACACUAACAGUGUCUGGGAGGUAUGUAUGGUUACUCUGUCGGGAGCUCCUGGCAUGGACUAGGCCUUGCCAGGGUCUUCUAGAUGGAAGCUUCUAGACUUUGAGAGUGUAAGUUAGGGAGGCUCCCAGGAGUCUUCAGGAAGGAAGCCUUGGUGCCAUACAGCUCAGAGUUAAGGGCUGACAGUGCAGUUGGUGCAGAGCCAGCAGGACCGGCAGUCCCUGUGUGUCCCCCACCCCCUACUGUGUGGAGCUAUGAGAUCAAGGCCACAGGGUACUGCCUAUCCUGCCCAGGGCCCCAGGCUGCCUGGACCAAGCGCCACAGCCAUAUCUGAAACCCAACACCCUGUGCUGCUCCAGCCCGGAACAUGACUCAGCCUUCCAGGAACCUCCACAGUCUGUUUGGGUUUUUGUUAAUUUAAGAAAGAAAAAAAAAAAAAAAAAAAAAAAAACAAGGCAGGAGGGUUGAGUGUGGACUUGUAACCUUCCCAAGCUUCCGCUGGCUUUCAACACCCCUGGCCCUGUGCCCAGCAGAGCAAGGGACAUGUGACAGUGACUGUGCCUGAAGUGCCUCAGAGACUCCUGUCCCCCCUCAAGGAUGCUGCAUCUGAAGCAAGCCCUCCAGGUUAGGGCUGGAGGCUGAGCAGCUGUCCCUGUGCUGCCAAUCAGAGGGACUGUGGCUCAGUGGGGAGAGUGCUCCCUGGCAUGCACCAAGCCCUGCGCUCCGUCCUCAGCACCAGAUGGCCCAGGUGUGGUGUUGUCCCCGUAAUCCCAGCACUCAGAAGGUACAGGGAGUUCAGGGUCACCCUCGGCUCGUUAGGGUGUUUGAGAAGACCAGCCUGGGCUACAUGACCCUGGUCUGAAAAAGACAAAACAAAACAAACAAACUAAGGGGUAUGAUGCCUUUACCGAGGACACAGGCUCUGUCCCCAGCUUCUACAUGGUGAGCUCAGCCGUCUGUAACUCUAGUUUCGGGGGGUCUGGCACCUUCUUCGGGCCUCGGUAGGCACUACCUUCACACAGUGUGCUUUAUAUACAUGUAAGGAAAGCACCCAUAUGUACAAAAUAAAUCUUUAAAAUCU